GACGAACGCUGGCGGCGUGCUUAACACAUGCAAGUCGAGCGGAAAGGCCCUGCUUUUGUGGGGUGCUCGAGUGGCGAACGGGUGAGUAACACAUGAGUAACCUGCCCUUGACUUUGGGAUAACUUCAGGAAACUGGGGCUAAUACCGGAUAGGAGCUCCUGCUGCAUGGUGGGGGUUGGAAAGUUUCGGCGGUUGGGGAUGGACUCGCGGCUUAUCAGCUUGUUGGUGGGGUAGUGGCUUACCAAGGCUUUGACGGGUAGCCGGCCUGAGAGGGUGACCGGCCACAUUGGGACUGAGAUACGGCCCAGACUCCUACGGGAGGCAGCAGUGGGGAAUAUUGCACAAUGGGCGGAAGCCUGAUGCAGCAACGCCGCGUGCGGGAUGACGGCCUUCGGGUUGUAAACCGCUUUCGCCUGUGACGAAGCGUGAGUGACGGUAAUGGGUAAAGAAGCACCGGCUAACUACGUG
rnacentral:rRNA from 1 species